UACGGGGGGGGCAAGCGUUGUUCGGAAUUACUGGGCGUAAAGGGCUCGUAGGCGGCCAACUAAGUCAGACGUGAAAUCCCUCGGCUUAACCGGGGAACUGCGUCUGAUACUGGAUGGCUUGAGGUUGGGAGAGGGAUGCGGAAUUCCAGGUGUAGCGGUGAAAUGCGUAGAUAUCUGGAGGAACACCGGUGGCGAAGGCGGCUCACUGGCCCGGUACUGACGCUGAGGCACGAAAGCGUGGGGAGCAAACAGG
rnacentral:rRNA from 1 species